AACGAACGCUGGCGGCGUGGAUAAGACAUGCAAGUCGAACGGGAUUUUCCGUUGUAGCAAUACGAUGGAAAAUUUAGUGGCGAACGGGUGCUUAACACGUGGGCAACCUGCCAGGAAGUGGGGGAUAGCUCGCCGAAAGGCGAAUUAAUACCGCAUGUGAUUAGAGAGGACAUCCUUUCGAAAUUAAAGUCGGGGCAACCUGACGCUUCUUGUGGGGCCCGCGGCCUAUCAGCUAGUUGGUGAGGUAACGGCUCACCAAGGCUUUGACGGGUAGCUGGUCUGAGAGGACGACCAGCCACACUGGGACUGAGACACGGCCCAGACACCUACGGGUGGCAGCAGUCGAGAAUUUUUGACAAUGGGGGAAACCCUGAUCGAGCGACGCCGCGUGGAGGAUGAAGGUCUUCGGAUUGUAAACUCCUGUCAUUGGGGAACAAGGUGCAUACGUUAACUGCGUGUGUAUUGAUAGUACCCGAAGAGGAAGAGACGGCUAACUACGUGCCAGCCGCCGCCGUAAAAC
rnacentral:rRNA from 1 species